UGUCUGGGUUUACUUGUUUUCUCGAAGUGCCAUGUAUAUGUGAAUGUGAAAUAUAUUUGAAGUUAAUUCUUGAAUUUCAAAACAAAACUUUGGUUUGUUGACGAUAAACAUAUGGUCUAGAAGGAUAAUCUCAUGAGAUUGGUUAGUCAGUCAAUUUUUAACCCUCUCUUUUGAAGAUAGUUAUGCUCCUCCUGCUCUAGAACCUCAGCUUUUCUUGCAUGAUGUGAGGCUCAGAGAAUAUGCAGUGGAUAGAAGUUAUGUGUAUGUAUCAUCUUGCCCUUGUACGAAGAAACACAUGUUUUCUGAAACAUGUUUUUUAAGUCAUUACCGAGCCCAUUAAUUUCAAGUAGGACUGGAUUCCCUUCCUCCACGUUCAUAGAACUUGAUCCUGAAAGUUGUUUAAAGAUUUUAGGAGUGCCCUCAGGUGGUACGAGCCAUGAAUUGCAUCUCCUCUUACACUGCAUGGUGGUUAAAAAGAGAGGCAGAAAUAAUUCACUGUUUAAGAACCCAGGAUUUAAAUCUGUGUAUGCAUCAGAGAUGAACUGUUUUUUAGUUUUGGUUCACAAGAUGGAAGAGGAAAAAUGCCAAUGUGUGGUGAACUCUUUGGGGAGAGAUAGAUUUUAUAUUCUAAAAAUAAGUUAUGUGUAAAACAAUGCAAAUGUGAUUUCUCUUGCUUUUGUUGCGUGCUUAGUAGUGAUGUUGAAUAUACAAAUGUGCCAUAAGCAAAAUGUAUUUAUAUAUUUUAAGAGGAGAGAUAGAGUAAUUUUUGAUAUUUUGUUGAAGGUAUAGAGUUUCAAAACCUGUUAUAGAUAUGUUAAAUUUUUAUACUAUGUCUUAUUCUAAGAAGGGUUGAAACAUCUAGCUCGUGGGUUAGUCUAUUUCAGAUACGAAUUUCAGAGUAAGAAGACAUUUUGGAAUCUUGCCGAAACCACCUUUUUAUGCCUGUAGAUGUUUUAUAUGAGCUCUUUUGAGGAAAUUAAGAUUUCUGUAAAGCGUUGGUACAUAGCUCUUACAUCUUACCUGUUUUGAGAAACCUCUGGAGCUCCUGGUUUGUCAGUAAGUCCAGAGGGUAGCAGAGAGAAGCCCUCGGGUGUGCACCGUCUCAGGUGUAGAUGCUCUGAAUGCCCACAUGUCCGUCUCGUGUCGGCUUUCUGCUGCAGGGGUAGAAUGCCCCCUUGUUGUGGUCUCACCAUAGCAGAGAAACUAGAAUUGUGGCUCUUAAUACCCUACGAAGACGCCAACUGCACACCAAAUAAUGAAAGACCCAAAAUGUAGAGGUUGUAUAUAGGACACUGACAUUUUGGCUUCCCCAUAUUUGAAAUGAACUAGCAUUUUUAUUUCUAAACCUUCAAAAGAGUGUCCAUGGAUGAUAUUAGGAACUAAAUGUUACUAAAGUGGUUAAAAUGAUUAUUUCUUAUCUUGUCAUCAAUUUGUUUUUAACCCAAUGGAAAGGAUUGUUUUUAUCAGUGUGUAGUCCUAUAGUUUGUUUUCAGAAUGCAAGUGCUAAUGUUUUUUCUUCUGAUCUCCAUCUUUUGAAAUUAAUGAGUCUUAGUGUGGAGAGGCUACGUUACAUUCUCUUGUAAUUUUCGCAUUCUAGAAAGUUUGGCAAGUGGGAAACUCGCCCAUCCUCUCACUAGCUACGAGCAUUUUGCUUCCUUGAGCUCGCACACAGUUUACCUGCGUGAAGCGUACAAUGCAGCGGUCGGUGUUUUUGCUGGGCUGAGCAGCCGUCCCUGCAGGCAGCCUGAGACCGUUUAAUCACACCAGAAAGAAGCCCCCCUGCCUGAAGCCACCGUCACCACCCCUCCCUGCUCCUGGCGACACUGAGCUACUCUCUAGAUUCGCCUAUUCUGGACAUUCCCUAUACGUGGAAUCAGAUGACCAGCUGUUAUUCAGUGUGAUGUGUUCAUGCCUCAGCUGUCUUGUAGCAUGGGUCACGCGUGGCAGUUUGAGAAGUCAAGCAUAAUAAAAAGCAUGUGUCACGUGUCUAGGCGUGCUAAGUUGUGCCAGUGGGACUUUCAUGUUUCAACAGUUGGCUUUCUUAUUUUAAAGUUGUCGGAUGUGGUGUAUGGUCAAAGUAAUGACUGAAUCAUAGCAUUUUUUAAAGUAGAGAGCUUAAAAGCAAAGCAGAAAGCCUUCCGCAGAUUCUUCAGUUUAAAAAAAACUCAACCUGUUAAACCUUGGUGAAUUGCAGCAGAAGUAUUAUGCUGAGCUGAAUGCACAUGGAGCGAAGCACUUGACCGAUUCGCAAGAUGUCUGACGGUUGUCUUCUUUUGUCUCCACGCUCAGUUUUCCUGCCCACAGUUGCCCUGCCUUCAUUUUUCGCCACAUCCAAGAGCAUUAGCUUAGAAACUUUAUACUUUUUUUGGUUCUCUUAAUUCUUUUUGUCUUGUAAAAGUAGGAGCGAAGAGACACGGUCUUUGAAAGUCUCUGUGCUGUACGAUGAGAGUGUAAACACUUUUUUAGGUUACAAGCGUUUCUGCUCUUUCCCCGUGGGUAAGGGAGUGAGGUGGUGUGUUUCCUGAGAAACAAUCGGAGACGUCCUCGAGUCACUGAUAGCAUCUCCCGUGAGCCUUCCCCGUGGAGCUGGGUGCCUUGGUCAUUCUCCCCCCGCUAGUCUCCAGUGCUGUAAGCUGUCGUGGGCCCGUUUUGUCUGUCUCUCGCCCACAUAGAAGUUUGGACCACUCUGCCUAAUUAUAAUAUUGUACUGAAACCUCUCUCCUAAGUCUUCAGAUAGAUUCUUCAAAUUUCUUAGAAAAUUUGAUAACUACCUAAUUUUUAUUUAUGCUUAUUACAUCCUGUCAAAUUUUUUGAAGUGGCUAACAGGAGGAAACAUAUAUGCUAAAACCUCAAGUAGGAAAAAGAACUCCCAGUGAAGGGGGGAAUAAUUGUCUUCGUUGUUCGGGGCUAAGGAACUCAAGUUGAGUGUUGACUACCGGCAAGUUAGCGUUAGUGCAGAAGGAAAUCUUCCCGCUGACCAGCAGAGGACCACUGUGGGCAGAAGGCAUGGGCAGGGUAAGGUGGCCAUGCAGAUGGAGGAGCCUCGACCGAGCACAUUGGAAAGGUGGAAAGAGCAGGUGCCUGGAGCCUAGGGAGACAGAGCGUGGACUGGAUGAGAGAGGGAGUGGUCACGCCAUGGGGAGAAGGCGCUGGAGUUUGAGGUUCGUCUGGAGAGCAGUGGGAAGCAAUUGAAGACAUUUUACAAAGGGAGGCGAUUUGGCUCAGUCGUUAAGGCGUCACCGGCUAUUGAGGGGAAGGGGGUGGUGCCAAGAUGAGAAUGGGCAGCUUCAGGAGGUGGUGCUGUUGUGACAGGGCUGGUGGUCUCGGAGCGUCUGCACUUACCACCUACUCUGUGUGUGUGUGUGUACUUUGGUGUUGACAUACUGCAUACAUUAUGGAACGUUAAAAGAAAAGGAUGAGAGAAAAAUGAACAGAAAUAGAAGUGCUGCUGAUUUCUCUCCCAUGCCAAUGUACGUUUAGCAUCCUGGGAUAAGUGCAUCCCUCUAUGAAAACCACUCUCUGGAGUGGAGGCCAUUUGGAGAGAGGGAUUUCGAGGUGACAGGAGGAGCUUGGCAGUAGGUUCACUAGUCGUAAUAAAAAGGAAGGGGUGACGAGGGCCCUGGACUUCUGGUUUGUGCCACUGAGGAGAUCACAGUGCUGGUUAGAGGCCCAGCCAGUGCUCCAGCAAUAGGCUGAUCCUGUUUGUUGAAGUAGCCGCUGCCUGCCUGUGCAUGUGCGUCCCAGUGCCCUUGGCCACAGAGGGGGCCUCUAGGGUGGUCGGGGGGCUGGCUCUGCUCUGCAGAGAAGUGGACGUGGGACGCAGGUCACUCUCGCCUUCCCGAGUGUCAGGACGUGGCAGGAUUGGUACAUUAUGGUCGACUCUGACGGUUUCUGUAGCUGUGGAUAGACUCCUUGAUUCUGCAGCUGAAGGUAAACGGUGUACGGAGCAGGUGUGGGCUGGGGGCAUGUCACAACUGUCGCUGUUCAAGCUUCUGCUGAAUUCUCCGCAGUUUGUCAGCUGUUAGCAGCCGUCUUCCAUUUGCUGAGAAGAGAAUAAAGCAUAUCUGAGGCCGUAAGUUGGGGAGGAUUAAACAAAUGAACGGGGCAGGGGAGCCCCAUCGCAUGUACAGUUUGCCUAAGACUAGGCACAGCGACACGACAGAAGUUUCUGUGUUGGCGUUUUUUUCAUGUGUGGCUAGAGAUGCAUGAUGCUCUACUUCCUGAGGUAUAUAAAUAUUUCAUUAAAAACUGUACAUAUUUUAAAGCGAAAUGUGAAAAUUUUUUUGAAAAUAUUAAAAUGCCACUUUAAAAACGCCACCACUCUGCACACAGUUUGCUCUUUGUUGUAAUUCUCGUGUGCUGGUGCGGAGCCCUGCAGAAUGAGACCUAGGUCUGUAUGUCUGUAUCUCUUUUGUUCAGUUUUACUGAGGUAUAAUUGAAGAACAAAACUGUAAGAUAUUUAAAGCGUAUAUACUGUGAAAGCGUCCCUCCCAUCUAGUUAGUUAGCACAUCUACCACCUGAACCUCGUGUGUGUGUGUGUGUGUGUGUGUCAUUUGGGUGAGUUAGCACAGUUCAGUUACACAGUACAGUGCUAUCAACUACAGUCACCAUGUGUCUGUUAGAUCCUCGGUCCUCAUGCAUCUUACAGCUCAAAGUUCGUACGUUUUUACCAGCCUCUGUCUAUUUACCGUCCCCCCCCCCCCCCCCCCAGGCCCUGGCAGCCACUUCCCUACUGUUUCUAUGAGUUUGGAUUUUUUUUUUUUUUAAAGUCCACAUACAAGUGAUGCCAGCAGUCUUUUGUCUUUCUCUGUCUGGCUCAUUCCGCUUAGUGUGAUGCCUGCACGGUCCGUCCAUGUUCGUGCAAGUGACAGGAUUUCCUUCUUUCUUCUGGCUGAGUGAUAUUCCAUUGUGUGUAUUCCGUAAGAUUCCAGAAUGGAAUCUCUCUCACAUGCACACACACACGCACGCUCUGCAUCUUCUUGACCCGUUCAUCUGCUGAUGGACAUUAGGUUGUUGCCGUAUCUUGACUACUGUGAGUGACUAAGGCUGCAACGAGCAUAGGGGUGCGGGUGUUCUUGUUUUCAUUUCCUUUGGAUGUGUGCCCAGAAGUGGGAUUGCUGGGUCAUGGGGUAGCUCUGUUUUUAAUUUUUGAGGAGCCUCCAUAGUGUCUCUGCAGUGGCUGCACUGUUUGCAUUCCCGUGAUUCCCGUGGUACCUGCUUUUGUUUGUUUUGUUUUUUCACAGCAGCAGCCACACCGCUGCGGUGUCUUCCUCCAUUGUCUUCUAGCCACCUGAGAACAGACACACAUUUGCUUUUAUCCCCUUUCAGAAUGUGUGUCGUAGAACUUUGCGAUCACGAGGGUAAUACCUGGGGGCCUCAUUGAUGGUCAAAAGCAUGAACACUGCUCGUUUGGAAGCUGACGAUGUAUGUGCCCACUCAGCAGACUGGCUUUCUAGAGAGUAAAUUGAAGUAAAACCAGCUUUAAGCAAACAUUAUCUCA